GAUGAAGAACGUAGCAAAAUGCGAUACUUGGUGUGAAUUGCAGAAUCCCGUGAACCAUCGAGUUUUUGAACGCAAGUUGCGCCCGAAGCCUUUUGGCCGAGGGCACGUCUGCCUGGGCGCCACGCAUCGCGUCGCCCCCCACAAAUUCUCCGUCAGGAGAGCUUGUGUUUCGGGGGCGGAUACUGGUCUCCCGUGCUCAUGGCGCGGUUGGCCGAAAUAGGAGUCCCUUCGAUGGACGCACGAACUAGUGGUGGUCGUAAAAACCCUCGUCUUUUGUUUCGUGCCGUUAGUCGCGAGGGAAGCUCUUCAAAAACCCCAACGCGUCGUCUCUUGACGGCGCUUCGACCGCGACCCCAGGUCAGGCGGGACUACCCGCUGAGUUUAAGCAUAUCAAUAAGCGGAGGA
rnacentral:misc_RNA from 1 species